CCGCAAUCGUGUUGCGGCGCCGCCGUUGGUGAAGAAGGGGAGUACACUCCCCCAUCAACACCAUAGAUGCCAUGAUCAGGAUCUCUUGAAUGCGACUCGGCUUCUAGUGAGGAGAGACUGCUAUCUGAAGACAGAGUUGGCGGACGUCCCAUAGACUUGAAUGACACUUCCAGCAAUUCUAGCUCCAGAUUGCUGUAGUCUGCGAAGAUAUCACCGGAUGGCCCCAAUAUUUAUGGACCUAUCCUGCUACUAAGAGCAAGAUUAGAGGCUACCUGGACCACCAGGACGAAGGUUAGAACGCGCGUUGUAGGGGCACCAUCCCGGUCUCUGUCUCACACUCAUUUAGCAGCCUUGUGGGUAUUUUUUGCUAUAUCUUCAUGCACUGAUGUAGUGUGGUUGACAUAACAUGUAGUAGCACCUUAUGCAUAUGGCACUUUACUAUAUUAUGUACUGUAAGUCACUGAUGUUUACACUGUGUACCAUUUGCUGCCUUUUAUAUACCCCUAUAUAAAUUUAUGUGACUGUA